GUGUCGGUGGUGCAAUUGGUUGAAGCACGCACUCCCUGAAAGGGUGAGAUGCGGGUUCGCGUCCCGCUUGACGCA